ACCAAACAGGUGCCUCUUUGUUAAAAGAGGAGAAUAGGGAAGAUCGGACAGAAGCAAUUCUGAAACGACGCGGUCGCGCCACUGUAAUCGGGGAGAUGUUUUGGCUGAUGCCACCGGAAAACCGGGAAGGCGUCAAAACAUUGAUGAGCCGUUAGCCAGGAGACCUGCCUGUUAUGGC
rnacentral:ncRNA from 1 species